AUUGAACGCUGGCGGCAGGCCUAACACAUGCAAGUCGAACGGUAACAGGAAGAAGCUUGCUUCUUUGCUGACGAGUGGCGGACGGGUGAGUAAUGUCUGGGAAACUGCCUGAUGGAGGGGGAUAACUACUGGAAACGGUAGCUAAUACCGCAUAACGUCGCAAGACCAAAAAGGGGGACCUUCGGGCCUCUUGCCAUCGGAUGUGCCCAGAUGGGAUUAGCUAGUAGGUGGGGUAACGGCUCACCUAGGCGACGAUCCCUAGCUGGUCUGAGAGGAUGACCAGCCACAAUGGAACUGAGACACGGUCCAGACUCCUACGGGAGGCAGCAGUGGGGAAUAUUGCACAAUGGGCGCAAGCCUGAUGCAGCCAUGCCGCGUGUAUGAAGAAGGCCUUCGGGUUGUAAAGUACUUUCAGCGGGGAGGAAGGGAGUAAAGUUAAUACCUUUGCUCAUUGACGUUACCCGCAGAAGAAGCACCGGCUAACUCCGUG
rnacentral:rRNA from 1 species